rnacentral:tRNA from 1 species
ACCUGGUUAGCUCAGAUUGUAGAGCAUAAGACUUUUAAUCUGAGGGUCAUGGGUUCGAGCCCCAUCUCAAGCG